ACGGAAGGCAGCAGUGAGGAAUAUUGGUCAAUGGACGGAAGUCUGAACCAGCCAAGUCGCGUGAAGGAUGAAGGUAUUAUGUAUUGUAAACUUCUUUAGCAGUGGAGUAAUAAGGUGGUCUAGACCACUGAUGCAAGUACACUGAGAAUAAGGAUCGGCUAACUCCGUGCCAGCAGCCGCGGUAAUACGGAGGAUCCGAGCGUUAUCCGGAUUUAUUGGGUUUAAAGGGUGCGCAGGCGGCUUUUUAAGUCAGUGGUUAAAUCGUGACGCUCAACGUCAUCACGCCAUUGAUACUGGAGAGCUUGAUUGCGGUCGAGGUUUGCGGAAUUCGUUGUGUAGCGGUGAAAUGCAUAGAUAUGACGAAGAACACCGAUUGCGUAGGCAGCAGACCAGGCCGUAAAUGGCGCUCAUGCACGAAAGUGCGGGGAUCGAGCAGGAUUAGAUACCCUGGUA
rnacentral:rRNA from 1 species